UACGGGGGGGGUAAGCGUUGUUCGGAAUUACUGGGCGUAAAGGGCUCGUAGGCGGUUUGUCACGUCGGGAGUGAAAACUCGGGGCUUAACCCCGAGCCUGCUUCCGAUACGGGCAGACUAGAGGUAUGCAGGGGAGAACGGAAUUCCUGGUGUAGCGGUGAAAUGCGCAGAUAUCAGGAGGAACACCGGUGGCGAAGGCGGAUCUCUGGGCCUGUCCUGACGCUGAGGCGCGAAAGCUAGGGGAGCGAACAGG
rnacentral:rRNA from 1 species